rnacentral:rRNA from 1 species
CGGGACGGGUGAGUAAUGUCUAGGGAAACUGCCUGAGGGAGGGGGAAUAACACUGGAAACGGUAGCUAAUACCGCAUAACGUCGCAAGACCAAAGAGGGGGACCUUCGGGCCUCUUGCCAUCGGAUGUGCCCAGAUGGGAUUAGCUAGUAGGUGGGGUAACGGCUCACCUAGGCGACGAUCCCUAGCUGGUCUGAGAGGAUGACCAGCCACACUGGAACUGAGACACGGUCCAG